UACAGAGGUCUCAAGCGUUGUUCGGAUUCAUUGGGCGUAAAGGGUGCGUAGGCGGCGCGGUAAGUCGGGUGUGAAAUCUCGGAGCUUAACUCCGAAACUGCAUUCGAUACUGCCCGUGCUUUGAGGACUGGAGAGGAGACUGGAAUUCAUGGUGUAGCAGUGAAAUGCGUAGAGAUCAUGAGGAAGACCAGUGGCGAAGGCGGGUCUCUGGACAGUUCCUGACACUGAGACACGAAGGCCAGGGGAGCAAACGGG
rnacentral:rRNA from 1 species